rnacentral:rRNA from 1 species
CACGUAGGGGGCGAGCGUUGUCCGGAUUUAUUGGGCGGAAAGAGCUCGUAGGCGGCUCGGUAAGUCGGGUGUGAAACCUCCAGGCUCAACCUGGAGACGCCACUCGAUACUGCCGUGGCUAGAGUCCGGUAGAGGAGCGUAGAAUUCCUGGUGUAGCGGUGAAAUGCGCAGAUAUCAGGAGGAACACCUAUUGCGAAGGCAGCUCGCUGGGACGUAACUGACGCUGAGACGCGAAAGCGUGGGGAGCAAACAGG